UACAAUAUAUAUGAGGGUUGGGAUGGUUAUGAAUCCCCCAACAUAGAGAAGCUCUUGCCAUAUUCUGACGAAUAGAGCCCACAAGUAUAUUGGUAACAAUGGCAUCAAUGAAGCUGCAAAAGAGAUUAGCUGCCUGUCUUCUCCAUUGUGGUCAAGGAAAAGUGUGGCUUGACCCUAAUGAGAUCUCUAAUAUCUCCCUUGCCAAUUCAAGGACAGACAUAAGAAAGCUGGUAAAGGAUGGUUUCGUCAUCAAGAAACCAAGCAAGACACACUCAAGAGGCCGUGCACGGCGCUCCCUCGAAGGGAAAGCAAAAGGGAGGCAUUCAGGGGAGGGGAAGCGCAAGGGAACAAGAGAGGCCAGGCUGCCAUCGAAGGUGGUGUGGAUGAGGAAGCUGAGGGUGUUGCGCCGCCUGCUCCGCAAGUACCGGGAAUUGGAGAAGAUCGAUAGGCAUGUCUACCAUGAGAUGUACAUGAAGGCGAAGGGAAAUACCUUCAAGAACAAGCGUGCUCUUAUGGAGACUAUUCACAAGUUGAAGGCCGAAAGAGCAAGAGAGAAAGUGAUUUCUCAUCAGUUUGAGACCAAGAGGAAGGCUGCAAUGCAUCACAGAAGAUGGUCGGUAAACAAUAAUGAAUGCAAGUUG